GCUACUAUGAUUAGACAAAGAUGAGAACAGGGCGUCCUUUCGGAGACCUUUGUUUUGGAGCUCCGACUGCAGUGGAAAUUCCUCAUCUAUGUGUUGCAACACCUCCCGCUGCCUCAGCAUCAGCUUAUCCUGUCUCCUGGUCUGAGCCUCCUCCAGCUGCAGUGAGACAGUGACUUCUGGGUCCGAGUUCCUCCUGUCCCAGCCAAGGUGAACAGCAGCACUUACUUCUCGCACGUCUCCCUGAGCUUCUUG